GACGAACGCUGGCGGCGUGCUUAACACAUGCAAGUCGAACGGAAAGGCCCUGCUUUUGUGGGGUGCUCGAGUGGCGAACGGGUGAGUAACACGUGAGUAACCUGCCCUUGACUUUGGGAUAACUUCAGGAAACUGGGGCUAAUACCGGAUAGGAGCUCCUGCUGCAUGGUGGGGGUUGGAAAGUUUCGGCGGUUGGGGCUGGACUCGCGGCUUAUCAGCUUGUUGGUGGGGUUGUGGCUUACCAAGGCUUUGACGGGUAGCCUGCCUGGGAGGGUGACCGGCGACAUUGGGACUGAGAUACGGCCCAGACUACUACGGGAGACAGCAGGGGGGAAUAUUGCACAAUGGGCGGAAGCCUGAUGCAGCAACGCCGCGUGCGGGAUGACGGCCUUCGGGUUGUGAACCGCUUUCGCCUGUGACGAAGCGUGAGUGACGGUAAUGGGUAAAGAAGCACCGGCUAACUACGUG
rnacentral:rRNA from 1 species